rnacentral:rRNA from 1 species
UAUUACCUACGGGAGGCAGCAGUGGGGAAUAUUGGGCAAUGGAGGAAACUCUGACCCAGCAAUGCCGCGUGAAUGAAGAAGGUCUUCGGAUUGUAAAGUUCUUUAGUCAGGGAAGAAGUCAAUGACGGUACCUGAAGAAUAAGCUCCGGCUAACUACGUGCCAGCAGCCGCGGUAAUACGUAGGGAGCAAGCGUUGUUCGGAAUGACUGGGCGUAAAGGGGGCGUGGGCGGUUGUACAAGUUAGAAGGGAAAUACCCAGGGCUUAACUCGGGGGCUGCUUCUAAAACUGUAUGAUUUGAGUGCAG